UUCAACCCUCCCGGAAUCCGAGCGUGGGUCCAGGGCCGGGAAGAAAAGAAAGUCACCCAGGACUACAAUUCCCACAAUGCACUUCAUGGGCUUCUCUGACGUGUGCUCUUGGAAAACGUAGUCCAUUGUGGGGCAAGAUUUAAAAAUGCAGGAGGGAGGUGGGAGGGCCAAAGUCAGAGAAGAGGAGAUGCUAUUUCUGAAAGAGGACCAUGAACCAAAGGAUGCAGAUAGACUCUAGAAGCUAGAAACAGCAAAGAAUAGAUUAUCCCUGGAGCCUCUGGAAGGAACACAGCCCUGCCAACUUCGUGAUUUUGGCCUUGGAAGUUCCAUUUUUGGACUUCUGACAUUCAGAACUGCUUCACACCCAGUGCAGAGCCCAAUGUGGGACUUGAACUCACGACCCUGAGAUCAAGACCUGAGCUGAGAUCAAGAGUCUGAUGCUUAAUUGACUGGGCCAUCCAGGUGCCCUAACUCUCCCCAUUCUUAAUUGGUGAGUAACACCAUCUACCCUGUUGUUGCCCAUGCCAAAUGGUUGGGAAUUAUUCUUGAUUCAUCUCCCUGUAUGAUUGACAUCUAGUUAUUCCCCAAUUCUGUCAAUUUGAUGUAUUUUAUAUCUUUUUAGUCUAUCCAUUAUUUUAAGCUCUACUUGCAAUAACAGGAAGUGGAAGAUGCUUGAAGGAGUUGCCAGGACAGGGGCUGUAUCAGAAUUUAACAAUUCAGAGACAAUCUGCCCCACAUCGAGCUCUGUACUGAUAGCACAGAGCCUGCUUGGAAUUCUCUCUCUCUCUCUCUCUCUCUCUCUCUCUCUCUGUCACUCCCCAACACUCACUCUCUCUGUUUUUCAAAAUAAAUAAAUAAACAUUAACAAAAAGAAUUCAGAGACAUUUCAGUUCCAAAUGAUGAAAAGGAUAUCAUAUGCAGUGACUGGAGAUUAAUGGAUACCUUAGUCUGUUUAUAUUUUUAAUUUUUUUUUAACGUUUAUUUAUUUUUGAGACAGAGAGAGACAGAGCAUGAACGAGGGAGGGUCAGAUAGAGGGAGACACAGAAUCUGAAACAGGCUCCAGGCUCUGAGGUGUCAGCACAGAGCCCGACACGGGGCUCGAACUCACGGACCGUGAGAUCAUGACCUGAGCCGAAGUC